rnacentral:rRNA from 1 species
GACGAACGCUGGCGGCGUGCCUAAUACAUGCAAGUCGACCACAGCGGCGGACGGGUGAGUAACACGUAGGGAACCUACCGAUACGCGGGGGACAACAUCCGGAAACGGGUGCUAAUACCGCAUACUUAUCGCUUGCCUUUCGUUGCAUUAGCUCGUGGGUGGGGUAACGGCCUACCAAGGCCAUGAUGCCUAGCCGACCUGAGAGGGUAAUCGGCCACAUUGGGACUGAGACACGGCCCAAACUCCUACGGGAGGCAGCAGUAGGGAAUCUUCGGCAAUGGGCGCAAGCCUGACGGAGCAACGCCGCGUGAGUGAAGAAGGUUUUCGGAUCGUAAAGCUCUGUUGUAAGAGAAGCGGUAUCUUACCAGAAAGCCACGGCUAACUACGUGCCAGCAGCCGCGGUAAUUC